rnacentral:rRNA from 1 species
GAUGAACGCUAGCGAUAGGCUUAACACAUGCAAGUCGAGGGGCAUCACGAAUUAGCAAUAGUUUGGUGGCGACCGGCGCACGGGUGCGUAACACGUAUACAACCUACCUUCAAUUGGGGAAUAACCUGGAGAAAUUUGGACUAAUACCCCAUAGUAAGCAGAGGAGGCAUCUUUUUUGUUUUAAAGAUUUAUUGAUUGGAGAUGGGUAUGCGUAGGAUUAGCUAGUUGGUAAGGUAACGGCUUACCAAGGCAACGAUCCUUAGGGGUUCUGAGAGGAAGGUCCCCCACACUGGUACUGAGACACGGACCAGACUCCUACGGGAGGCAGCAGUGAGGAAUAUUGGUCAAUGGUCGAGAGACUGAACCAGCCAAGUCGCGUGAAGGAAGACGGCUCUAUGAGUUGUAAACUUCUUUUGUACAGGAGUAAAGUGAGACACGUGUGUUUUAUUGCAAGUACUGUACGAAUAAGCAUCGGCU